rnacentral:lncRNA from 1 species
CAGAAAUGAUUUUUCUAUCCCAUCCUCAGGGACCAGUGGGAAUGAAUUUUACCAUCCCACCCUCAAGGGCCAGAUUGGAAGUGAUAUUGGUGGAAGACAACAUUUUGCCGCUUGGAAUUCUCACCUCCACACCAAAGAAGUACUGUUUUUGUCAUUUGCACCAGCUUCUUUCUCCAGGAAAGAUCAAAACGAUGCACUGCAAAGGAAGCAAGAGAAUGAAUUAAAGAAAACUCCAGAGAAUGAGCUGACAACUUACGCCCUGGUCAGUGGCUCUCCAUGCCUACCUGUGGUCUCUUGGACACCCUUGCAGGUAUGUGGGCAGGGAACUGCAUGUUUAUAGGAAACAGGCCUAGGAUGGAAGGAGUUAAUAGAUCUUCCUCUUCUUGAGUUUGAUG